UGGUGACCUGAGGCUCCCCGGCUGUCCCUCUGUCCCAGCCCUUCCUGGCCUGCGGGGCUCAGGCUGAGUCCCAGUAAGGUCUGUGGGGUCCUGACCC
rnacentral:pre_miRNA from 1 species